UUCCGUAAAGGGGUCAGUCAGUCAGUCAACAUGAAUACUUCAGUAACAACUGGCUGUCGUGUGUGUUUACUGCAGACAUUAUUGCUUACUCACUUCAAGGCGCAGAAAGGAUCGUCAGUGCUGAGUCAUGUUUUCUCUUUCGCCACCGGUGGAGCCGAGGUCAAAGACAUCUUGCACUUUCCCCUUGUUUCUCGAGAACAACACAUUGACAGCCUUGUGAAGGUCGGUGUUGACAAGGAGCGAGGUGAGGGCGGCCAUGGACGUUCGCAGCAAGUACAACAGGAAGCCCGCCAACCUCACGGAGUCAGUUGAAAAGCUCUGACGAACGAGGAGAAAUAUGGACUUCAAGCAAAGAUGUGUGCUCUAUCAAGAGUUAAUAUUACUACCAUAAAAUACCUCUUCGGAAGUAGUUUGUGUAAAUUAUUUAUGGUUUUUCUUUAUCCCAGAACGUAACCAAAAAAAAAAAAAAAAAAAAAA